GUGGGGGAGAUCAGUAAAGAACCGUGGACACUGGUGUCAUGAAGCCUGUUCGUUUUAUCUACAUUGCUGAUUGCAUUAAGUUAAAGUGAGACAAACGUAGGUUUUCUCACUUCAACUUGUUGCACCAGUUCAGCAGUGCAGACAAAACGAACAGGCCUAUUAGUUCAUGUGCACGGUUGUAUGUACAGAGAACGCUUCGCCCUUGGCUCGGCUAGAGUCCCUAUAGUAAGAGUCUGGCCAAUGUUCUAGUUGGAUACAACUACACCUGUACUGCACCUACUGUAAUCUCGGUUUUUACGCGUGCGCAUGCAAUUGUUGCGUACCGGGAUGCAGAAAUAGAAGCGAAAAUGGCUUCUAUAUGAAACAUUUUCCAAUAAGUAAAAAACAAAAAAUUAUAUGGUUGAAACAAAUUGGAAGAGAAAACUGGAAACCGAAACAAUAUUCAGCAAUUUGUGAGGUUCAUUUUACCAAAGAAAUGUGGGAAAAACCGCGACAGGAUGGUUCCAAAAAAUUAAAAGCACAAGCAGUGCCAACAAGUUUUCCUCAUACAAAAGUAAUGUCGGAAUCUUUCGAUGGAAAAAUAAAGAAGUUAAAAUAUAA